AAAUUACAUCUCCCCAGGAAAUCAUCUGUCAAGUUUCCACUUCGAUUCUUGCAUCGCUCGUAAAAGUAAUCAAUGAGCGAAAGGAAAAAUAAACAAGUUUCUCGGGCGGCCAGAUUGUUGCCUUACAUUUUGUUAGCUUAGGCAGUGCUAAGGCACUUGUUAAAAAUGUUCGAUUGUACAAAUUCUAACCAUCCAUUUUAUUAGCACGAUAAUCAUGCAAUUUGAGUGGAUUUGUGAUACGAAACUGUAUUUUGCACUAGCAUUAAUUUUGCUGAGUUUAGAACACAAAAUUAUUCCAUAUUUAAAGGAAGUUAGAUCGGGACAUGAUAUUACUCUUAAGCAAGGACAAGUUUUCCUACAAAACAUAAUUAAAUUAAAUUAUUGAAUUAAAUGACCGAUGAAGACGUUUCCAUGAUUUAUGAUACCUUCGCAUGUGCCGAUUUUAACAAACUAGACCUUUAAUUAAGGAAGCGGCAUGUUUCCAAACGGUAAUUGAUAAGCACUUUCCUUGGGAAAAAAAAAAAGAGCAGAUUUUGCAUGCACAAGAUCACUUUCCUAAUGAUGAGGCUUCUUUAUUUUGAAGCCCUGGCCAAACGAACUCGCAAGUAGUUGCAAGUCGUCGUAAGUUGGACUCGAGUAUAGACUUGUCUCUGUCAGAAGGUUGCACGACGAGUGUGUUUUAGGGCGCAUGUCAGAAUUUACCCAGUAUAGCCUGUCGUUUAAAGAGUGAUCAUUUGAAUUCGAGGUAGAAUAAUGUUCGUUUUUGAUGCCCAAAAAUACAAUUAAAACCAUGUAAUCUAGAUAGGGCUGAUCUUCUUUUGUACCCAUAUUGUUAAUUUAAUAGCGGAAGUUUGAUGCUUAAUUUUCCAUGAAAGGAAAUAAAAGCGAAAUAUCUCUACCCAUACAAACUUAAGAGAAGUCGAUCGAAAUACUGAUUGUCUACUUUUGCCGUUUUCAAGCAUUGAAGGAAUGAAGGCCCAAACUGUGUUAGUUCUUGCCGCUCUUUUUCUGCUCGCAAAUCUCGUUACUAAUAGUCACGCGUUUAGCCCGCCUCUACCAGGAAAGAAAAGAGAGUUGGAAAGAAAGCUGCAGAUUGAGAGAGGCGCAAUGAAUCUUCGUGAUCUUAAAAGAACCGUUGCAUGCGGGGGACUGGAGAGGAAAGCAUCCGACGAUUACAAUGAAGAAAAAGGAAAAUAAACAAGUAUAAUUAAAGGACUGAUUAAAACAAUGUUAUAUGACGAUUAUCACCCCGGAUGACGAAAAUACUGUAACCUAAUGGAUUAUCAUAGCAAACAAAUAAAAUGUAAAGAUUAA